rnacentral:lncRNA from 1 species
UUCCUUGACCCGCCAACUUGCCCCUGGACCAGUUUCCCCUGGACCCCUUUCCCCUGGGCCUCUCCUUUCUCCUGCUGCCCCCCCUCUGUGCUUGCAUGCGCAGCCAUGGGCGUAGGUGCUGCUGCUGUCUCCUGCUGCUGCCCCCCCUCUGCGCCUGCAGGCAACGCUGCUGUGCUUGCAUGCGUAGCCAUGGGUGUAGGUGCAGUUGCUGUCUCCUGCUGCUUCCCCCCCUCUGUGCCUGCAGGCAACGCUACUGGGCUUGCAUGCGCAGCCAUGGGCGUAGGUGCUGCUGCUGUCUCCUGCUGCUGCCCCCCCUCUGUGCCUGCAGGCAACGCUUCUGUGCUUGCAUGCACAGCCAUGGGUAUAGCCGCUACUGAGGCUGCUGCUGCUAUCUCCUGCUGCUGCCCUCCUGGGCUUGCAGGCCUGCCUUGUGUGCUUGCAUGGGCAAGG